rnacentral:lncRNA from 1 species
CCAAAGUCACUUAAAAUAUUGUCACCCAAAGUUUUAGACGCGGCUCAGAAAAGGGGAGAUGGCCUCACACGUUCUCCACCAGCUCGUCCAUCAAGGGACCCAGGAGGUCCCCGGGGAGGACCUUUGACCAUCAUCGACCCCCAGGUCCACCCCAUCUGAGCGGCAAAAUCAGUGUCCCCCAGACAACGCCGCGGCCCAGUUCGGUGACAUGCACAGUUACCACCGUGAGGCAGCCCGCGACCCACGGCGAUCGA